UACGUAGGGUGCGAGCGUUGUCCGGAAUUAUUGGGCGUAAAGAGCUCGUAGGCGGUUCCGUAAGUCGAGUGUGAAAAAUCUGGGCUCAACCCAGUGGAGCACUCGAUACUGCGGUGACUGGAGUACGGUAGAGGAGUGUGGAAUUCCUGGUGUAGCGGUGAAAUGCGCAGAUAUCAGGAGGAACACCGACGGCGAAGGCAGCACUCUGGGCCGGUACUGACGCUGAGGAGCGAAAGCGUGGGGAGCAAACAGG
rnacentral:rRNA from 1 species